rnacentral:rRNA from 1 species
ACUCUGAUCCAGCCAUGCCGCGUGCAGGAAGACUGCCCUAUGGGUUGUAAACUGCUUUUAUACAGGAAGAAACACGGCUACGUGUAGCCCACUGACGGUACUGUACGAAUAAGGACCGGCUAACUCCGUGCCAGCAGCCGCGGUAAUACGGAGGGUCCGAGCGUUAUCCGGAAUUAUUGGGUUUAAAGGGUCCGUAGGCGGGCAUUAAGUCCAGGGGUGAAAGUCUCCGCCCUCACCCCUGAAAAACCCCCCUUUAACUCCUGCUCUUCUUGAGUUAUAGUGAAGUGGCGAGAAUAUGUAGUGUAGCGGUGAAAUGCAUAGAUAUUACAUAGAACACCGAUUGCGAAGGCAGAA